rnacentral:lncRNA from 1 species
CUCUAACUUGUGUCAAGUUGACAAAAAGCUCCCUUGCUUGGUCCUAGUCAAGAUUUAAACCUAGCAUUUGGAGCUAUGGAUGGUGUGUGUGUGUGUGUGUGUGUGUGUGUGUGUGUGUGUUACAGACGGCAUGUGCAUGCAUGGUACUGGUUAAGCAUGAGCCACGGCAUCCUUGCAUUUGCUGACAUCCAAGAUCCUCCCUGGUAGCCAAGAAAGCAGUCAGACUGACUGUUCAGCAUCAGCUGUCCAGGGCAAGGGACAACACUGUACCACUCAGCUGACAGAGAAGGUGAAAUGGUGGCUUUUAUGUGUCGGCUGUCACAGCAUGAUGAGCAAGGAAGGGCAGGGCUGAGGCUAGCAGUCCUCCUCUUUGGCAUCUUGCUUCAACCCCGCCUUUUUGCAGGUUACUCUGUCCCGUGCACACACCGCUUGACCAUCCUGACAGCCCUGAAUGAUGGCAACAUUUCCCAUCCCUGAGGAACAGCGUGCACACACUUUUAACCACCGAGCCGUCUCGGAUCCUCUGGCUGCCAAGGCUCAGCUGGGUGGUGGUUCUGCUCUCUGGGGCUGGAUCACUUGUGGGUUGCUGUCAGCUGGGGCUCAGCUGGGCUGGAAGUUCAAGAAGCCCCCGUCUGUCUGUCGAUGUUUCUCUCUGUGGUCAUACUCCAUGAGGUAUGUGAACUUAUUUACAACACGGUGCUUGCCUGCUGUAAGGCAAGCCCUGGUUUUCAUGAACUCAUCAAACUAUUGCUCCUUCUAUAUUUGUGAGUGUCUUAUUGGCUAACACAAAUCACGUGGUUGGUCCAGGCAUGAAUGUGCAAAGGGAUUCAUGGCAUUUGAGAAAUGGAAGGUAGGUGUCAUUGGGACCGUAGACGCUGCAGUCCGGCACAGCCAUUUUCCUCUUUCUUGAGAAGUCACCCAGACACUCCACAGAACAGAUAGCACAGCAGUCAUGGGAAACAUCUGAGUUUCUGGCCGCGGAGCUUCUGCCUCAGAACAGUGUGCAUCUUUCAACUGGG